UUAGGGUUUGAUAUCAUUCUUGCGCCUCUUCAGUUAAUGUCUAUGUUCCCAAGGACAGAGUCACUAACCAACACCAGGGAUAAGGAUUUGUUGAAUUCCGUAGUGAAGAAGAUGCUGACUAUGCCAUCAAGGUGCUUAAUAUGAUUAAACUUUACGGCAAGCCAAUUCGUGUAAAUAAGGAUGUAGAUGAGAAGCUCUUGUAUGACACUUUCAGUGCAUUUGGAGUUAUUGUUACUAAUCCAAAGGUUAUUUUCUUCUAAUAUCUUUCAUUACUUCUAGAAGCAUCAUGAUUGUAUAGCUUAAUUAACGGCUUCUUGCAAGUAGCAGUUGCUAAGUACUUUUCAUUUUCCCCUUAUCUGCAUUUCUCAGUAGAACAACCAGAUAUUAUUGUUUUAUCCUCUGAUCACUGGUCCAUUCAUUUUUGAGCACUUAGCAGUUAGCUGUAUACUCCUAAAAUGUUUGUGGUCUUACUAAAUGAAUUUGAUGCUGUUCCAAUGUAUCCUCCAAGAGAAAAGUUUUCUAAUUAGUUUUCCGUUAAACGGGUUGGGUGGAUCCAUAAAGUGGAAUUUUGGUUUAGCACUUUAUUUGAUUGGUUGAG